rnacentral:lncRNA from 1 species
GGGGAGUGUUUCUAAGGAAUCACCAGGGGUUGGCAGUCCUGGGCUACCAUGUUGCCAACGUCUCUCUCCAACUGGCAUUGAACAAAUAUUAGUGGACCGAGCCCUGGAGCCCAGCAGAAGGAAGAGAGAACAGAGCAGAGAAAUCCCUGUGUAGACACAACAGUGAAUCCUGACUGUGCUCCAGGACAAGGACAUGGAGGACAAAUGUGAGCACAUGACAUCAGAAACAUAUGCAGAGAGACAAAGUCUACACUCAAGCAAGGCCUGUCCUGAUCUCCCUUUUGCUGAUGACUGUGGCGUCCUGGCCAGUCCAGAAAUGCCUGGAAGGGUUCCUGGCUUGCUUCUGUGUGUGCCAUGCUGUGCGCCCAUGCAUGUGGUUUGUCAUAGGGAACGUUUCUUGGUGUUCUAUAGUAAGAUCUUCAACCCAAGCUCCAGCUGGGAGGAGCACCUUCGUCCACUGACUUUGAGAUGACUGCCUGGUCUGCUUAGCUAGCAGCACUCUGUGCCUUGCAAUCCCCACCAUGCAAGUCUGCUCCUUCCAGAGGUCUGCUGGCUUCCUCGGAUCUAAGGAAACCCCUCUUCCAGAAAGUGGUUUCUGACUCACAGGGGCACCUAGAGACAUGUGGAUUAAGAAGGCCUUCCAGGCCUCUGGCCAAAUUCUAAUGGUGAAAUUUGAAGCCGGGUCUUUGAAAUUCAGAAUAUCUCUUCCACACUGUGGAUCUGAUCACCACCCCCACCCAGAAGGCAGUAGGGUAGGAAG